GAUGAACGCUGGCGGCGUGCCUAAUACAUGCAAGUCGAGCGAACAGACGAGGAGCUUGCUCCUCUGACGUUAGCGGCGGACGGGUGAGUAACACGUGGAUAACCUCCCUAUAAUACUGGGAUAACUUCGGGAAACCGGAGCUAAUACCGGAUAAUAUAUUGAACCGCAUGGUUCAAUAGUGAAAGACGGUUUUGCUGUCACUUAUAGAUGGAUCCGCGCCGCAUUAGCUAGUUGGUAAGGUAACGGCUUACCAAGGCAACGAUGCGUAGCCGACCUGAGAGAGUGAUCGGCCACACAGGAACUGCAGCACGGUCCAGAGUCCUACGGGAGGCAGCAGUAUGGUAUCUUCCGCAAUGGGCGAAAGCCUGACGGAGCAACGCCGCGUGAGUGGUGAAGGUCUUCGGAUCGUAAAACUCUGUUAUGGGGGAAGAACAAAUGUGGAAGUAACUAUGCACGUCUUGACGGUACCUAAUCAGAAAGCCACGGCUAACUACGUG
rnacentral:rRNA from 1 species